AUAUCAAUAAGCGGAGGAAAAGAAACUAACAAGGAUUCCCCUAGUAACGGCGAGUGAAGCGGGAAGAGCUCAAAUUUAAAAUCUGGUUUGCUUGCAAAUCCGAGUUGUAGUCUGAAGAAACGUUUUCCAUGAAAGCUGAGGCACAAGUCCUUUGGAACAGGGCAUCAUAGAGGGUGAGAAUCCCGUCCAUGGCCUCAAGUCUUUUAUUUUGUGAUACGUUUUCUAAGAGUCAGGUUGUUUGGGAAUGCAGCCUAAAAUGGGUGGUAAAUUUCAUCUAAAGCUAAAUAUUGGCGAGAGACCGAUAGCGAACAAGUACCGUGAGGGAAAGAUGAAAAGAACUUUGAAAAGAGAGUUAAAAAGUACGUGAAAUUGUUGAAAGGGAACCGUUUGAAGCCAGUCUUGCUUACUUGUGAUCAGUCUUAGCUUCGGCUUGGAUGCACUCUCAGGUUAUGCAGGUCAACGUCAAGUGUUGAGAGGUGGGAAAAAAGCUUGAGGAAUGUGGCCUUCGGGUGUUAUAGCCUCUUGCUAAAUACCAUCUUUUGGACUGAGGCUCGCAGCAUAAAAUGUGGGCAGGUUUGCGUUUGAGGUGA
rnacentral:rRNA from 1 species